rnacentral:rRNA from 1 species
UACGAAGGGGGCUAGCGUUGCUCGGAAUUACUGGGCGUAAAGGGCGCGUAGGCGGAUAGUUUAGUCAGAGGUGAAAGCCCAGGGCUCAACCUUGGAAUUGCCUUUGAUACUGGCUAUCUUGAGUUCGGGAGAGGUGAGUGGAAUGCUGAGUGUAGAGGUGAAAUUCGUAGAUAUCAGGAGGAACACCGGUGGUGUAAACGGCUUUCUGGACCAUAACUGACGCUGAGGCACGAAAGCGUGGGUAGCAAACAGG